UUUUAGUCAUGCCUCCUACGAGAAUGAAAUGUGAAAUUAGGGAAGAAGACAAAAAUAUGGGUGCAAACUAAAGAACCCAGUUUGUACAUCAGCUGGACUUGGUGAUUCCAAAGCUCUUAGGCUCUCAUCAACUUCUGUGGAUACUGAAUCCGGUAAUAUUAAAUGUGACAUUACUUCAUCAACCCCUAAAGUGUCUUGACUCUUUAACUUGUAGUUAUUCAGCUUCUUUUGUCAAGCCUCUUUUCUAAAUAAGACCCUCAGAGAAGCUCCCGGGAAGAAUUAUUUCCUGGGGUGAAGUAUCUUGGCCAGAGCAACAUCUUUCCAGGUUGUAUUUGCUGGUAUAAAGUCUUCCUUUUUGGGGUCCUCAUCAUCCUAGCUGCAUGCGCUGUUGACCUCAACCUUCUGCUUCUUCAAUGCCCACCAGGCUGAGCUUCAACACUCUACCUGCAUACUACAGGAAGCCUGAAGUCUUUAGCACGUUCCACAGGAUGUGUACUUCCUUCCUUAACUACUCUAAAAACUGCGGCGGAUGAGUACAC